GUGUCAGCAGCCGCGGUAAUACGUAGGUGGCAAGCGUUAUCCGGAAUUAUUGGGCGUAAAGCGCGCGUAGGCGGUUUUUUAAGUCUGAUGUGAAAGCCCACGGCUCAACCGUGGAGGGUCAUUGGAAACUGGAAAACUUGAGUGCAGAAGAGGAAAGUGGAAUUCCAUGUGUAGCGGUGAAAUGCGCAGAGAUAUGGAGGAACACCAGUGGCGAAGGCGACUUUCUGGUCUGUAACUGACGCUGAUGUGCGAAAGCGUGGGGAUCAAACAGGAUUAGAU
rnacentral:rRNA from 1 species